rnacentral:rRNA from 1 species
GACGUAGGGCGUAAGCGUUGUCCGGAUUUAUUGGGCGUAAAGAGCUCGUAGGCGGCUUGUUGCGUCGUCCGUGAAAACCUGUGGCUCAACUACAGGCUUGCGGUCGAUACGGGCGGGCUGGAGUUCGGUAGGGGAGACUGGAAUUCCUGGUGUAGCGGUGAAAUGCGCAGAUAUCAGGAGGAACACCGGUGGCGAAGGCGGGUCUCUGGCACGGUACUGACGCUGAGACGCGAAAGCGUGGGGAGCGAACAUG